CACACAAGUGAAUCAGAAUGAUAUUCAAUUGCAAUUAGCCACGCCUAGAGGUACAAUGGAGGACUGAAAAGGUCUAAAUGAGUGUUUUGUUCAUUUGUGUCACUUAAGCGACAGAGUGCCAAAAAAGCAAAAUGGAAAUCAUGCAUGAUGCUCUCAUUAGCUCUUGUUGUUCACAGAGACUCGUGGCAGGAAUGACACACGAGUGAUAUGCAUUGUGUUGGAUUUGGUGACUGUUAUGUUGGAGUGUGGCGUGACGAGACUUGGGGACAUUAAAUCACUGAGAGUUCUCAUGAAAGACGGACUCUGCCAUCACUUACUUACUUUGCUUCAGAACGAAUCUGUUGAUGUUUUUGGUCGCUCUUUGACAAAGUGCUUUCUUCUUUUUGAUUCAAAUUGUCAUCAUCUCAAACUACAGCUGGAGUGGUUCCUUAAUAAGCUAAUGCACACAAUACAAUUAGAUCAGUCAAGACUUCAAGCAGGCAGACAAGAGCUAACAUUAGAAUGUCUCA